UAGCACAGUGGUUAAGUGCUUGGCUCCUAACCAAAAGGUUGGUGGUUCAAACCCACC
rnacentral:tRNA from 1 species